AGAGAUUAACAUAGAUCUCUAGUUUACUGGAAAGAGAUUAACAUAGAUCUCUAGGUUACUGGAAAGAGAUUAACAUAGAUCUCUAGUUUACUGGAAAGAGAUUAACAUAGAUCUCUAGUUUACUGGAAAGAGAUUAACAUAGAUCUCUAGGUUACUGGAAAGAGAUUAACAUAGAUCUAUGUAGGUUACUGGAAAGAGAUAAACAUAGAUCCCUGUAGGUUACUGGAAAGAGAUGAACAUAGAUCUAUGUAGGUUACUGGAAAGAGAUGAACAUAGAUCUCUAGGUUACUGGAAAGAGAUUAACAUAGAUCCCUGUAGGUUACUGGAAAGAGAUUAACAUAGAUCUAUGUAGGUUAAUGGAAAGAGAUGAACAUAGAUCUAUGUAGGUUAAUGGAAAGAGAUUAACAUAGAUCUCUAGUUUACUGGAAAGAGAUUAACAUAGAUCUCUAGUUUACUGGAAAGAGAUUAACAUAGAUCUCUAGGUUACUGGAAAGAGAUGAACAUAGAUCUCUAGGUUACUGGAAAGAGAUUAACAUAGAUCCCUGUAGGUUACUGGAAAGAGAUUAACAUAGAUCCCUGUAGGUUACUGGAAAGAGAUGAACAUAGAUCCCUGUAGGUUACUGGAAAGAGAUGAACAUAGAUCUAUGUAGGUUACUGGAAAGAGAUGAACAUAGAUCUAUGUAGGUUACUGGAAAGAGAUGAACAUAGAUCCCUGUAGGUUACUGGAAAGAGAUGAACAUAGAUCUAUGUAGGUUACUGGAAAGAGAUGAACAUAGAUCUAUGUAGGUUACUGGAAAGAGAUGAACAUAGAUCUAUGUAGGUUACUGGAAAGAGAUGAACAUAGAUCCCUGUAGGUUACUGGAAAGAGAUGAACAUAGAUCUAUGUAGGUUACUGGAAAGAGAUGAACAUAGAUCUAUGUAGGUUACUGGAAAGAGAUGAACAUAGAUCUAUGUAGGUUACUGGAAAGAGAUGA